rnacentral:rRNA from 1 species
CUACGGGACGCUCCAGUGAGGAAUAUUGGUCAAUGGGCGCAAGCCUGAACCAGCCAUGCCGCGUGAAGGAUGAAGGCCUUAUGGGUUGUAAACUUCUUUUAUACGGGAAUAAACUUAGCUAUGUAUAGCUAACUGCAGGUACCGUAAGAAUAAGCACCGGCUAACUCCGUGCCAGCAGCCGCGGUAAUACGGAGGGUGCAAGCGUUAUCCGGAUUUAUUGGGUUUAAAGGGUCCGCAGGCGGACUAAUAAGUCAGUGGUGAAAUCUCUCGGCUCAACCGAGAAACUGCCAUUGAUACUGUUAGUCUAGAGUGUAGUUGGCGUAGGCGGAAUGUAUCAUGUAGCGGUGAAAUGCUUAGAUAUGAUACAGAACACCGAUCGCGAAGGCAGCUUACGAAACUACAACUGACGCUCAGGGACGAAAGCGUGGGAAGCGAACAGGAUUAGAUACCCCCGUAGUC